CAGUUGCCGCGGUAAUACAGAGGGUGCGAGCGUUAAUCGGAUUUACUGGGCGUAAAGCGUGCGUAGGCGGCUUUUUAAGUCGGAUGUGAAAUCCCUGAGCUUAACUUAGGAAUUGCAUUCGAUACUGGGAAGCUAGAGUAUGGGAGAGGAUGGUAGAAUUCCAGGUGUAGCGGUGAAAUGCGUAGAGAUCUGGAGGAAUACCGAUGGCGAAGGCAGCCAUCUGGCCUAAUACUGACGCUGAGGUACGAAAGCAUGGGGAGCAAACAGGAUUAGAUACCCCAGUAGUCCCUGUCUCUUAUAC
rnacentral:rRNA from 1 species